rnacentral:rRNA from 1 species
AUUGAACGCUGGCGGCAGGCCUAACACAUGCAAGUCGAACGAGUGGCGGACGGGUGAGUAAUGUCUGGGAAACUGCCUGAUGGAGGGGGAUAACUACUGGAACCGGUAGCUAAUACCGCAUACCAUCCGAUGUUCCAUGAUGGGAUUAGCUUGUUGGUGGGGUAACGGCUCACAAAGGCGACGAUCCCUAGCUGGUAUGAGAGGAUGACCAGACACACUGGAAUUGAGAGACGGUCCAGAUGGCUACGGGAGGCAGCAGUGGGGAAGAGUGCACAAGGGGCACAAGCCUGAUGCAGCCAUGCCGCGUGUAGGAAGAAGGCCUUCGGGUUGGAAAGUACUGUCAGCGGGGAGGCGUUACCCGCAGAAGAAGCACCGGCUAACUCCGUGCGAGCAGCGGCGGUAAUUC